rnacentral:rRNA from 1 species
UGAGGAAUAUUGGUCAAUGGGCGCAAGCCUGAACCAGCCAUCCCGCGUGCAGGAAGACGGCGCUAUGCGUUGUAAACUGCUUUUCCAGGGGGAGAAACUUGCGCACGUGUUGCGCAAUUGACGGUACCCUGGGAAUAAGCAUCGGCUAACUCCGUGCCAGCAGCCGCGGUAAUACGGAGGAUGCGAGCGUUAUCCGGAUUCAUUGGGUUUAAAGGGUGCGUAGGCGGACUAUUAAGUCAGUGGUGAAAUCCUGCAGCUUAACUGCAGAACUGCCAUUGAUACUGAUAGCCUUGAGUUUGGUUAAGGUAGGCGGAAUGUGUAAUGUAGCGGUGAAAUGCUUAGAUAUUACACAGAACACCAAUUGCGUAGGCAGCUUACUGAGCCGACACUGACGCUGAGGCACGAAAGCGUGGGGA